UGCAUAUCAAUAAGCGGAGGAAAAGAAACUAACAAGGAUUCCCUCAGUAACGGCGAGUGAACAGGGAACAAGCUCAAAGUUGGAAUCUAUCUGGCCUAGCCAGAUCGAAUUGUAAACUUUAGAGUCGUUAUCCAGGCCAGCCGAGUAAAUAAGUUCCUUGGAAUAGGACAUCAUGGAGGGUGAGAAUCCCGUCUUUGGCUUGAGCAUUGGCCUUUUGUGAUGCGGCUUCAACGAGUCAGGUUGUUUGGGAAUGCAGCCUUAAUUGGGUGGUAAAUCUCACCUAAAGCUAAAUAUUGGCGAGAGACCGAUAGCGAACAAGUACCGUGAGGGAAAGAUGAAAAGAACUUUGAAAAGAGAGUUAAACAGUAUGUGAAAUUGCUGAAAGGGAACCGUUUGAAGCCAGUCUGGCUGGUCUGCAAUCAACUUCGGCAUUUGUUGGAGUGCACUUGUAGGCCGUUCGCCUGCCAACAACAGUUUAUGCUGCAGCAAAAAGGUGCUGAGAAUGUGGCUUUCCUUCGGGCAAGUGUUAUAGCUCGGUACGAAAUACUGUGGUUUAGACUGAGGCUCGCAGUGAAUGCUUUUUGGCUUUGGAAGUGGGUCGCUCAGUGGUUAUUGAGUUAGUUUUCGGCCGUAAAAAAGUCGUGCUGGCUUACUGACUUGCUGACCCGGCUUGCUUGCUUUUAAUUCACUUUGGUUGUUGGCGUAAUGGCUUUAAACGACCCGUCUUGAAACACGGAC
rnacentral:rRNA from 1 species